UGGGAACUGUUGUUAUUAAAAUACAUUGAUUAAUGGCGCACAUAUGAACGCAUACAAAUCCAGCCACAAGCCUAUAUUUUGGCUUCUCAAUCCUUUUAUAUCAAAACAUAUGUCUACUUUCACUGAUAUUGAAAAACGGCAAAGACGAUAACCAGGCCAUCGAUGCGUCUGCAUUUGAUCAUGAAAACGAAAGUGUUAUCCUAAAAUAAACUUUUGACUGUUUUGAGUUUUGACAACACAUGUCAAGAAUUCAGCUACUUUUUCAUUUCACUGAAGUCAUUUCAAACCAGGCCACAGAACAACAGCAAUGGGCAUCACAACAAGGUGCAGUUGGUCAGGUGUCAGUGGAUUAUGUUAGAGACACCAGUCAUCACAUCAGUCACGACCUUCAGUAGCUGGUGUAGCCUCCAUCACCAGCAACAGCUGAAUAAGGUGUCGGCCUAGGUGUAACUGCUUCCCUUCCUGAUGACAUCAAGCUGAACAAUGUUUGGAACCAGAGUACUCUAUGUCGAGUUCUUCGUCCACGUAUGCAGAACAAGGUUACUGUGGCAGUCCAGUUCCUGUUAUUGCAAUGUUCUAAAUGCUUCCUGAGAAG